UACGUAGGUGGCAAGCGUUGUCCGGAUUUACUGGGCGUAAAGAGCGCGCAGGCGGUCGUUCAAGUCGCGUGUGAAAGCCCCCGGCUCAACUGGGGAGGGUCACGCGAUACUGAUCGACUGGAAGGCAGGAGAGGGUAGUGGAAUUCCCGGUGUAGUGGUGAAAUGCGUAGAUAUCGGGAGGAAUACCGAUGGCGAAGGCAGGUCUCUGGGCCAAUACUGACGCUCAUGCACGAAAGCGUGGGGAGCAAACAGG
rnacentral:rRNA from 1 species